AACGAACGCUGGCGGCAGGCUUAACACAUGCAAGUCGAACGCUCGUAGCAAUACGGGAGUGGCGGACGGGUGAGUAACGCGUGGGAACGUGCCCUGAGGUACGGAAUAACUGAGGGAAACUUCAGCUAAUACCGUAUGAGCCCCGAGAGGGGGAAAGAUUUAUCGCCUUGGGAGCGGCCCGCGUCGGAUUAGCUAGUUGGUGGGGUAACGGCCUACCAAGGCUUCGAUCCGUAGCUGGUCUGAGAGGACGAUCAGCCACACUGGGACUGAGACACGGCCCAGACUCCUACGGGAGGCAGCAGUGGGGAAUCUUGCGCAAUGGGGGCAACCCUGACGCAGCCAUGCCGCGUGAACGAUGUAGGCCUUAGGGUUGUAAAGUUCUUUUACCCGUGACGAUGAUGACGGUAACGGGGAAUAAGCUCCGGCUAACUUCGUGCCAGCAGCCGCGGUAAU
rnacentral:rRNA from 1 species